rnacentral:rRNA from 1 species
AUUGAACGCUGGCGGCAGGCCUAACACAUGCAAGUCGAACGAGUGGCGGACGGGUGAGUAAUGUCUGGGAAACUGCCUGAUGGAGGGGGAUAACUACUGGAAACGGUAGCUAAUACCGCAUACCAUCAGAUGUGCCCAGACGGGAUUAGCUGGGUGGUGGGGUAACGGCUCACCAAGGAGACGAUCCCUAGCUGGUCUGAGAGGCUUACACGACACACUGGAACUGAGACACGGUCCAAACUCCUACGGGAGGCAGCAGUGGGUAAUAUUGCACAAUGGGCGCAAGCCUGAUGCAGCCAUGCCGCUUGUAUGAAGAAGGCCGUCGGGUUGUAAAGUACUUUCAGCGGGGAGGCGUUACCCGCAGAAGAAGCACCGGCUAACUCCGUGCCAGCAGCCGCGGUAAUAC